UACGAAGGCAGCAGUGGGGAAUAUUGCACAAUGGGCGCAAGCCUGAUGCAGCCAUGCCGCGUGUAUGAAGAAGGCCUUCGGGUUGUAAAGUACUUUCAGUCGUGAGGAAGGUGUUAAGGUUAAUAACCUUAGCAAUUGACGUUAGCGACAGAAGAAGCACCGGCUAACUCCGUGCCAGCAGCCGCGGUAAUACGGAGGGUGCGAGCGUUAAUCGGAAUUACUGGGCGUAAAGGGCACGCAGGCGGUUAAUUAAGUUGGAUGUGAAAUCCCCGGGCUUAACCUGGGAAUGGCAUUCAAGACUGGUUAGCUAGAGUCUUGUAGAGGGGGUAGAAUUCCAUGUGUAGCGGUGAAAUGCGUAGAGAUGUGGAGGAAUACCGGGUGGCGAAGGCGGCCCCUGGGACAAAGGACUGACGCUCAUGUGCGAAAGCGUGGGGAGCAAACAGGGAUUAGAUACC
rnacentral:rRNA from 1 species